GGGGACCUUCGGGGCCCUUCAACUGCCGGGUCGACCAGCGCCACGCGCCGCGAGAUCCGCAAAGCAACGGAAAGACAGUAA
rfam:Oceanicola granulosus HTCC2516 scf_1099521380027 genomic scaffold, whole genome shotgun sequence.